rnacentral:rRNA from 1 species
AUACGGAGGGUGCAAGCGUUACUCGGAAUCACUGGACGUAAAGGACGCGUAGGCGGGAUGCCAAGUCUGAUGUGAAAUCCUAUGGCUCAACCAUAGAACUGCAUUGGAAACUGGUAACCUAGAGUAUGGGAGGGGGAGAUGGAAUUAGUGGUGUAGGGGUAAAAUCCGUAGAUAUCACUAGGAAUACCGAAAGCGAAGGCGAUCUCCUGGAACAUUACUGACGCUAAGGCGUGAAAGCGUGGGGAGCAAACAGGAUUAGAAACCCCGGUAGUCC